ensembl:lncRNA
UUUGGCUUAUAUUUUAAUAAAUGAGUAACAGCUGAGCAGAGAGGCCAAAAGAAGAGAGUCCCCCCCCUAUCCUGAGCUAUGCUCGAGGCAGGGCCUGUGCUGUCUGUGCGUCAGGUACUGCGGUGGGGGAGUUAGCACCGCACGCUGAAGGUUAACCAUGAAUUAGACAGCUACACAGAGAGUGAGAAGCAAUCGAGAGUGAGUGGCUAAUGCAGGUGUGAAGGCUGUUGGUUUUUUUCUUUUUAAUGUUUAAAUUUUCUUUUGAAUUCCCUUCAGGCAGGAAGAGAAGGAAAAAAGCCAGGCACUGUGGUGGAGCCUUAGGGGAGCGGGAGGCCUGGGGUGAUCAAUCAGCAGCAUUUCAGUGAGAUUAAGAGGGGACCUGGGGUAAUAUAUGAGGCAAUGUGGAAAGAGGCAUUUUAUUACAGUCAGCUCUGGAAGGAUUCAGUUCCAGAUGGCUGAAGUGGGGGUAGAUCAGGAACCUCUGUCAGAAGGGGCCCACCAUCCAAAAACGUGCAGCAUAGCAGCAGCAGCUGAAGGUUUCCUCCGCUCCAAAAAAAAAAAAAAAAAUCUCUCCUGGAGAGAGCUGUCUCCAUAGCUGGUUAAAUCAGUUUGCGCUUGUGGGAAAUGCCCUCUUUGUGAGGACAGAUGGCGAUGAGCGGGGCCAUUUUGGCACUUCCCCCCCCAUUCAGAAAAUGCGUCUUGUUCUUGUGGAACAAUUCUAGGAAGGCUUUGGGACCGGUUUGCCGCUCAAAAGCAGAUGUGUGGUGUGGCUCUGGAUGAUGGUGUGUUGUCAUAGCACUGGUGGGAAGAUUGGCCUCCACCAUUUCCUUCACCAUAGCUGCUCCACAGGCUGACACCUCCAGGGCUGGGAGGCAGAGCACCGAGCCUACACCCUGAUAUGGGGAGCCACCUCCCGAGGGAACAGCCUGAAGCUGCUAAAAUUCUUUCUGGGAGGAGGUCUCAUCUGGAGAGUGAAAACAGCUUGCUACUUGGAGUGCUGUCUGCAAAAGAACAAAGCUCUAAGGACCGUUCCCUACGCUGUGCCCCACAAGAGAGAUUAUUGAGCCAAGAUGUUGGCCUCAGGAAGCGUCCUACUAUGCUAGAGAGUUUCCAUGUGAAACGGCUUUUUUCCUAGGAUUUGUGUGCCCUAGCACCUGGUCAUCUCGGUGCUGGUCUUUUGGGGAAGAUGGGCAGGGAGGCAAGUGCCUGGGCUAUUUGCUUCUCCUAUUUGUAAGGGGAAUUGCAUUAUUUCAUCUCACAGGGAUGCUGGAGUACCUUUCUGAUAGUCUUUACUAGCUGGUGCUGAGCAUUUUAAUCAGGUGCGUGUCAGUCCUGUAUUUGUGUUUUGCACAUGUCACAGGUGACAUGAAAGGAAGAAAGGUUCAUGAAAGAGCCAAUUUUCCUGCACGGCUUUCAUGGAAAAUGAGUUCUGAUGCACAGAAUUGUGUUUUGUAAGGCAGUUGAAUGAAAAAAUUACAGAUACUUAGAAAAGUGAGAUGACAUCAUACGAUCUGUACAUUUUGUGAAAAUAAAUCAGGGCUACUAUUAUUAAAAUAUAUGCA